rnacentral:rRNA from 1 species
GACGAACGCUGGCGGCGUGCCUAAUACAUGCAAGUCGAGCGGACAGAAGGGAGCUUGCUCCCGGAUGUUAGCGGCGGACGGGUGAGUAACACGUGGGUAACCUGCCUGUAAGACUGGGAUAACUCCGGGAAACCGGAGCUAAUACCGGAUAGUUCCUUGAACCGCAUGGUUCAAGGAUGAAAGACGGUUUCGGCUGUCACUUACAGAUGGACCCGCGGCGCAUUAGCUAGUUGGUGAGGUAACGGCUCACCAAGGCGACGAUGCGUAGCCGACCUGAGAGGAUGAUCGGCCACACUGGGACUGAGACACGGCCCAGACUCCUACGGGAGGCAGCAGUAGGGGAGCUUCCGCAAUGGACGAAGGUCUGACGGAGCAACGCAGCGUGAGUGAUGAAGGUUUUCGGAUCGUAAAGCUCUGUUGUUAGGGAAGAACAAGUGCAAGAGUAACUGCUUGCACCUUGACGGUACCUAACCAGAAAGCCACGGCUAACUACGUGCCAGCAGCCGCCGUAAGAC